rnacentral:rRNA from 1 species
UACGUAGGGGGCGAGCGUUGUCCGGAAUUACUGGGCGUAAAGCGCGCGCAGGCGGCUUGUUAAGUCAGGUGUCAAAAUGCGGGGCUCAACCCCGUAUCGCACUUGAAACUGGCAGGCUUGAGUGCAGGAGAGGGAAGUGGAAUUCCUAGUGUAGCGGUGAAAUGCGUAGAUAUUAGGAGGAACACCAGUGGCGAAGGCGACUUCCUGGACUGUAACUGACGCUCAGGCGCGAAAGCUAGGGGAGCAAACAGGAUUAGAUACCCUGGUAGUCCUAGCCGUAAACGAUGGGUACUAGGUGUUGGGGGUGACAAUCCCCCAGUGCCGCAGUUAACGCAUUAAGUACCCCGCCUGGGGACUACGGCCGCAAGGCUGAAACUCAAAGGAAUUGACGGGGGCCCGCACAAGCAGCGGAGCAUGUGGUUUAAUUCGAUGCAACGCGAAAAACCUUACCAGGGCUUGACAUCCUCUGAAGCUAUAAGAGAUUAUAGUGUCCCUUCGGGGCAGAGUGACAGGUGGUGCAUGGUU